CCUACGGGGUGCAGCAGUGAGGAAUAUUGGUCAAUGGACGAGAGUCUGAACCAGCCAAGUAGCGUGAAGGAUGACUGCCCUAUGGGUUGUAAACUUCUUUUAUAUGGGAAUAAAAUGUUCCACGUGUGGGUUUUUGUAUGUACCAUAUGAAUAAGGAUCGGCUAACUCCGUGCCAGCAGCCGCGGUAAUACGGAGGAUCCGAGCGUUAUCCGGAUUUAUUGGGUUUAAAGGGAGCGUAGGUGGAUUGUUAAGUCAGUUGUGAAAGUUUGCGGCUCAACCGUAAAAUUGCAGUUGAAACUGGCAGUCUUGAGUACAGUAGAGGUGGGCGGAAUUCGUGGUGUAGCGGUGAAAUGCUUAGAUAUCACGAAGAACUCCGAUUGCGAAGGCAGCUCACUGGACUGCAACUGACACUGAGGCUCGAAAGUGUGGGUAUCAAACAGGAUUAGAUACCCCAGUAGUC
rnacentral:rRNA from 1 species